GACAUCUGAGGUGAUAACGAAUGGCGGGGAAUAAGGGUUCGGUUCCGGAGAGGGCGCCUGAGAAAUGGCGACCACAUCCAAGGAAGGCAGCAGGCGCGCAAAUUACCCAAUCCUAACACAGGGAGGUAGUGACAAGAAAUAUCAAUACCGGGUUCUUUUAGAGCUUGGUAAUUGAAAUGAGUACAAUUUAAACCCCUUAACGAGGAUCAACUGGAGGGCAAGUCUGGUGCCAGCAGCCGCGGUAAUUCCAGCUCCAGUAGCGUAUAUUAAAGUUGUUGCAGUUAAAAAGCUCGUAGUUGGAUUUGUGGUGUGUUCCUUUUGUGUGACUUCUUGGUUUCUCUCCUAACUUAGUUGGGGGUUGAACUGGUGUCACCAACACAUCAUCCUUGAUGGGAUUUAGAGUCAUUUCGACUUUUUUAUUCUCAUCAUCCUUUACUUUGAAAAAAUUGGAGUGAUUCAAGCAGGCGAAUUCAUUUGUUUUUAUUAACAAAUCAUCAAUUUGCUUCUGCACAUGUUAGCAUGGAAUAAUGCAAGAGGACUUGGGUUUUCUCUUUCAUUGGUUUCAGGAAUCCGAGUAAUGAUUGAUAGGGACAGUUGGGGGUGCUCAUAUUCGACGGCCAGAGGUGAAAUUCUUGGAUUCGUUGAGGAUGAACAACUGCGAAAGCAUUCACCAAGGAUGUCUUCUUUAAUCAAGAACGAAAGUUGGGGGAUCGAAGAUGAUCAGAUACCGUCGUAGUCCCAACCAUAAACGAUGCCGACCAGGGAUCAGCGAGCGUUGACUUUGCAUAUUUUUUAAUUUCGAUUAUGAAUAUUGCAAAUCUCAUUUAUUUGAAACGACCUCGUUGGCACCUUGCGAGAAAUCACCAGUCUUUGGGCUCCGGGGGGAGUAUGGUCGCAAGGCUGAAACUUAAAGGAAUUGACGGAAGGGCACAACCAGCAGUGGAGCCUGCGGUUUAAAUUGACUCAACACGGGGAAACUUACCAGGUCCAGACAUCAUAAGGAUUGACAGAUUGAAGHUCUUUCUUGAUUYKRUGG
rnacentral:rRNA from 1 species